rnacentral:rRNA from 1 species
GGUUGAUCCUGCCAGUAGUCAUAUGCUUGUCUCAAAGAUUAAGCCAUGCAUGUCUAAGCACAUGCCUUAAUACGGUGAAGCCGCGAAUAGCUCAUUACAACAGCCACCGUUUACUAGAAUAUAGUUAUCCUACUUGGAUAACUGUGGCAAUUCUAGAGCUAAUACAUGCAAAAAAGCUCCGCCCGCAAGGAACGAGCGCAUUUAUUAGAAUAAAAACCAAUCGGGUUUCGGCCCGUAAUUUGGUGAAUCUGAAUAACUUUGCCAAUCGCACAGUCCUAGUACUGGCGAUGUAUCUUUCAAGUGUCUGCCUUAUCAACUUUCGAUGGUAGGUUAUACGCCUACCAUGGUAGUAACGGGUAACGGAGAAUAAGGGUUCGACUCCGGAGAGGGAGCCUGAGAAACGGCUACCACAUCCAAGGAAGGCAGCAGGCGCGCAAAUUACCCACUUCCAGAACGGAGAGGUAGUGACGAAAAAUAACGAGACAGUCCUCUUCGAGGUCUGUCAUCGGAAUGGGUACAAUUUAAAUCCUUUAACGAGGAUCUAUUGGAGGGCAAGUCUGGU